rnacentral:rRNA from 1 species
GACGAACGCUGGCGGCGUGCCUAAUACAUGCAAGUAGAACGCUGAAGGAGGAGCUUUCUCUUCCGGAUGAGUUGCGAACGGGUGAGUAACGCGUAGGGAACCUGCCUGGUAGCGGGGGAUAACUAUUGGAAACGAUAGCUAAUACCGCAUAAGAGUAGAUGUUGCAUGACAUUUACUUAAAAGGUGCAAUUUCAUCACUACCAGUUGGACCUGCGUUGUAUUAGCUAGUUGGUGGGGUAACGGCUUACCAAGGCGACGAUACAUAGCCGACCUGGGAGGGGGGACGGGCACACUGGGACUGGGACACGGCCCAGACUCCUACGGGGAGCAGCAGGAGGGAAUCUUCGGCAAUGGACGGAAGGCUGACCGGGCAACGCCGCGUGAGUGAAGAAGGGUUUCGGAUCGUAAAGCUCUGUUGUAAGGGGAGAACGAGUGUGGGAGUGGAAAGUUCACACUGUGACGGUAUCUUACCAGAAAGGGACGGCUAACUACGUG